rnacentral:rRNA from 1 species
AUUGAACGCUGGCGGCAGGCUUAACACAUGCAAGUCGAGCGGGGUGAUGGUGCUUGCACUAUCACUUAGCGGCGGACGGGUGAGUAAUGCUUAGGAAUCUGCCUAUUAGUGGGGGACAACAUCGCGAAAGGGAUGCUAAUACCGCCUACGUCCUACGGGAGAAAGCAGGGGAUCACUUGUGACCUUGCGCUAAUCGAUGAGCCUAAGUCGGAUUAGCUAGUUGGUGGGGUAAAGGCCUACCAAGGCGACGAUCUGUAGCGGGUCGGAGAGGAUGAUCCGCCACACUGGGAGUGAGACACGGCCCAGACUCCUACGGGAGGCAGCAGUGGGGAAUAUUGGACAAUGGGGGGAACCCUGAUCCAGCCAUGCCGCGUGUGUGAAGAAGGCCUUAUGGUUGUAAAGCACUUUAAGCGAGGAGGAGGCUCUUUUGGUUAAUACCCAAGAUGAGUGGACGUUACUCGCAGAAUAAGCACCGGCUAACUCUGUGCCAGCCGCCGCCGUAA